rnacentral:rRNA from 1 species
GAACGCUCGUAGCAAUACGAGAGUGGCAGACGGGUGAGUAACACGUGGGAACGUCCCCCUCGGUUCGGAAUAACUCAGGGAAACUUGAGCUAAUACCGGAUAAGCCCUUACGGGGAAAGAUUUAUCGCCGAAAGAUCGGCCCGCGUCUGAUUAGCUAGUUGGUGAGGUAAUGGCUCACCAAGGCGACGAUCAGUAGCUGGUCUGAGAGGAUGAUCAGCCACAUUGGGACUGAGACACGGCCCAAACUCCUACGGGAGGCAGCAGUGGGGAAUAUUGGACAAUGGGCGCAAGCCUGAUCCAGCCAUGCCGCGUGAGUGAUGAAGGCCCUAGGGUUGUAAAGCUCUUUUGUGCGGGAAGAUAAUGACGGUACCGCAAGAAUAAGCCCCGGCUAACUUCGUG